GGAAUAUUGCGCAAUGGAGGAAACUCUGACGCAGUGACGCCGCGUAUAGGAAGAAGGUUUUCGGAUUGUAAACUAUUGUCGUGAGGGAAGAAAAUGACGGUACCUUAGGAAUAAGCCUCGGCUAACUACGUGCCAGCAGCCGCGGUAAUACGUAGGAGGCAAGCGUUAUCCGGAAUGACUGGGCGUAAAGGGUGCGUAGGUGGUUUGACAAGUUGGUAGCGUAACUCCGAGGCUUAACCUCGGCACUACUACCAAAACUGUUGGACUCGAGUGCAGGAGGGGCAAAUGGAAUUCCUAGUGUAGCGGUGGAAUGCGUAGAUAUUAGGAGGAACACCAGUGGCGAAGGCGAUUUGCUGGACUGUAACUGACACUGAGGCACGAAAGCGUGGGGAGCAAACAG
rnacentral:rRNA from 1 species